UGGUCAUCAAGAUGGAGCAGGGUAUAGAGAAGCCAUUAGGGAUGAUACAGAACACCACCAAAGGAGCUCCUUCUGGGAUUCUCUAUUGGCUGAACUCAGCCAGAAGCUGCCAAGGGAGACCCCCACAACUGGAUGCAGCCCACUGAAGUCAGCUUCCUGGGGUGCGUAGCUGAAGGUAGCAGGGAGCAAAAAGAAUCUGAAGGGGAAGUGAACAAUGUAGAGCGUAUCUGUGCUGAAGACGUAAGGAGAGAGUGGAGGUCAGAAGCUGGCAUGGUCCCUGGUGCAUGUAUCAGCCGCUAAAGUGGAGAGUAUGAACAUAAGCAAGAGGAAGUGAUGAGUAUCCCUUCCAGGAGAACUCUAAGAGGCAGUGAGUGAUUUGCUGGGCUCCCAAGCCCUCUGCUCUGAUGACAGCAAAGCCCCAAAUCAUGGUGCCUCCAUCAGUCGGGACCCCUCAGCAGAGCCAGCUUCACAGCUGGAGUGGAUGAAUCAGAACUUUCCCCAUGGGAGCAUUUAUAAAAAGGGGACACCCAGCGCAGAAGAUGUUUUCCAGGGAGAUCUCGGGGAGCCCAACAAGCCAAGAAGAGCAGAGCAAAGCAUUCCAAGGAAGGACUCUAAGUCUGCAACCGAGCACACACGAGGGUAGCCUACGCAUGUACGUCUUGCAGUGAUGGCAAGGAGCAGGAGAAAGAAAGCCCAUCCAAACAAGCAUAUUGGAAGCCUAUGUAUCCCAUAAGCUGACAUCUUGUUGCCCAAAGCAUGUCAUGUGCGUGGUCCAGAGUCAGUGUUGAAGGGCUCUGCAAAAUCACAUGGUAAAGACUGUGGUUUCAGGGAGGAGUGAAGAUUUGUGCGCAUUGCUCCAAUUGACAACCAUGGCACUAGGCUCAGGCCACACUUCUUCCUAACAAGAGAGCAAGUCAAAGCGUGGUUAGUUAAAGUCCAUACAAAAACUCACUUUAACAGGCCUCCUCUGGAUUGAACAGCUGAUAUUAAGUCAUAAGGUACCACAUCAGAAAGAUACUGGGUAUCUUUGGUUCAGCAAUUCCAUCACCAGGGACUUUUUCAUCCUAAGGAAAUCACUGCACGGUGGACAAAGAUAUAUGCAUAAGGAUGCUCCUUCUGGCCAAAGACCAAAAACAUAACUGGCCAUCAGUAAAAGCCAACACAAGGAAAGACCAUGUGAAUACACAGCAAGAACGUGGUGCUCUGCAAGUCAGAAACAGACCCGUCAUCAGACACCAAAUCAGCCAGCACCUUGAUCUAGGAUUUCUGGCCUCCAAAACAGUGAGAAAAUAAAAUUCUGUUGUUUAAGCCAUGCAGCCUGUUGUA
rnacentral:lncRNA from 1 species